AGCGCACUGGUCGAGUGAUCCUGCGCCGAAGAUUUCCGGGGCUAAAACUUACUACCGAAGCUACGGCAUCAGUAAUGCUGGGUAGGGGAGCUUCCCAUACGGGUUGAAGCAUGACCGUAAGGACAUGGGGACAGUAUGGGAGUGAGAAUGUUGGCAUGAGUAGCGAGAUGUGGGUGAGAAUCCCACAGGCCGUAAACCCAAGGUU
rnacentral:rRNA from 1 species